rfam:Nicotiana attenuata strain TT scaffold08082, whole genome shotgun sequence.
GGAUGCGAUCAUACCAGCACUAACGCACCGGAUCCCAUCAGAACUCUGAAGUUAAGCGUGCUUGGGCGAGAGUAGUACUAGGAUGGGUGACCCCCUGGGAAGUCCUCGUGUUGCAUCCC